rnacentral:rRNA from 1 species
UACGGAGGGUGCAAGCGUUAUCCGGAUUCAUUGGGCGUAAAGGGUGCGUAGGCGGCGGGGUAAGUCUGAUGUGAAAUCCCGGGGCUCAACUCCGGAACUGCAUUGGAUACUGCCUUGCUUGAGAGCUGGAGAGGAAACUGGAAUUUACGGUGUAGCAGUGAAAUGCGUAGAGAUCGUAAGGAAAACCAGUGGCGAAGGCGAGUUUCUGGACAGCUACUGACGCUGAGGCACGAAGGCCAGGGGAGCAAACGGG